rnacentral:lncRNA from 1 species
GGAACUUUCACACGUGAAUUCUUUUUUUUUUUGUCAUUUUGUUGAUCUUAUUAAACAUUGGCCAAAAGCCGAACAGUAUAUGGUAAAGACAAAGCCCAUAAACGAGGCCCAAUAACGGUCCAUAAAACAUGCAACCUAAAAAAGUCCAAACAAAAUCAGUAACAACUCGAGCUCCACGCGUUGCUUUUAGCGUGACAGGGACACAUGCCCAUCAUGCGAGUUACCACCGCACUUCAGGCGGUGACAAGGACAUCUCCGGCGAAAUUCUAAUCGGCUGGCCCACCGAAAACAAACCGGAAACAUGAUCCGUUCAAAGUGCCUCGCCGUCGACGACAUCAAGAGGUGAAGACGUCAUUAUAACAACAACACCUUAGUUUACAGCGUGAGAUCUCCACACAUCCAAAAUCAAAUCAGGACGACUUGAUUCUCCAGCGAAAUUCAACAGACCCACAAAAAAACUAAAGCCAAAGGAUCUCGCUUCUUAAUUUGAAGUUUCAAUCAAAGAACAACGUUGUUGAUCCAAUCGAACAACGAACCGAUGGAAACAGAAAAAGUUUUAAGAAGCUAAGAUCAAACAGAAACCGGGAUAGACCCGGAAAAGCCACCGUCACCACCGUGAAGAAAAGUGAGACGUGGAGCCAAGAGCCGACGGUAACAUCGGAGGGUCUGAUGUACCGUCAAAGUCGGCCGACCACCAAGAUAAAAGUGCGACGCUGGAAGAAAGACCCAACCACGGGUAGUCUGUCUCCAGAAAACGACCGGCCUGAGGUUUCUAAUCAUCAUCUUCCCCUCUGUAAAAGAUACAUGAGAGGGAACAGAGGAAAAGGAGAGAAAAACCUUUAUUCAUAAACUAGAAAUCGAAUAAAGUAAAAUAGAGAAUAUGACUCCAGAAUACUAAAUAAAUUGGUGAAUACGGUAUGAUUUUCAAAACAUCUAGCAAUACGCACAAAUCACAAAACUCACUCUACAAGCUUUUUGUUUCUUCCGAUUCAUAUUUUUUUAAAGGAGUGUGUUACCUUAUGAGACAUUUUCUUGUUUUUUUUUUACCUUUUAAGACAUUUUCUGCUGGAGAAACACUUUUUUUAUGAAAGGCUGAAGUGAGACGGAAAUGCAGC